rnacentral:rRNA from 1 species
CGCCAGACUCCUACGGGAGGCAGCAGUGGGGGAUAUUGCACAAUGGGGGAAACCCUGAUGCAGCGACGCCGCGUGGGUGAAGAAGCGCCUCGGCGCGUAAAGCCCUGUCAGCAGGGAAGAAAAUGACGGUACCUGAAGAAGAAGCCCCGGCUAACUACGUGCCAGCAGCCGCGGUAAUACGUAGGGGGCAAGCGUUAUCCGGAUUUACUGGGUGUAAAGGGGGCGCAGACGGCGAUGCAAGCCAGGAGUGAAAGCCCGGGGCCCAACCCCGGGACUGCUCUUGGAACUGCAUGGCUGGAGUACAGGAGGGGCAGGCGGAAUUCCUAGUGUAGCGGUGAAAUGCGUAGAUAUUAGGAGGAACACCGGUGGCGAAGGCGGCCUGCUGGACUGUGACUGACGUUGAGGCCCGAAGGCGUGGGGAGCAAACAGGAUUAGAUACCCUUGUAUA